GAAGCGCGAAAUGUAGUGUGAACCGCAGAACAUUGUGAAUCAUCGAAUCUUUGAACGCACAUUGCGCCUCCCGUCAUUGGGAGGCAUGCCUGUCUGAGCGUCAUUUAAACCAUAAACUCGGAAGGGUUUGUCCUGGGCCUCGCCGGUUGGCGUAGCCUCAAAGCCAUUGGUCUAAGGAGUGGACGAGAUCCAUUAGGACUGACCGUUCUUUGACCUUAAACCUCUCUGACUUGACCUCAGAUCAGGUAGGACUACCGCCUGAACUUAA
rnacentral:misc_RNA from 1 species